GAUGAUCGCUGGCGGCGUGCCUAAUACAUGCAAGUCGAGCGAACGGACGAGAAGCUUGCUUCUCUGAUGUUAGCGGCGGACGGGUGAGUAACACGUGGAUAACCUACCUAUAAGACUGGGAUAACUUCGGGAAACCGGAGCUAAUACCGGAUAAUAUUAUGAACCGCAUGGUUCAAAAGUGAAAGACGGUCUUGCUGUCACUUAUAGAUGGAUCCGCGCUGCAUUAGCUAGUUGGUAAGGUAACGGCUUACCAAGGCAACGAUGCAUAGCCGACCUGAGAGGGUGAUCGGCCACACUGGAACUGAGACACGGUCCAGACUCCUACGGGAGGCAGCAGUAGGGAAUCUUCCGCAAUGGGCGAAAGCCUGACGGAGCAACGCCGCGUGAGUGAUGAAGGUCUUCGGAUCGUAAAACUCUGUUAUUAGGGAAGAACAUAUGUGUAAGUAACUGUGCACAUCUUGACGGUACCUAAUCAGAAAGCCACGGCUAACUACGUG
rnacentral:rRNA from 1 species